UAAAUUGAGAGUUUGAUCCUGGCUCAGGACGAACGCUGGCGGCGUGCCUAACACAUGCAAGUCGAGCGAUGAAACCCUUCGGGGUGGAUUAGCGGCGGACGGGGGAGGAACACG
rnacentral:ncRNA from 1 species